UGGCUCAGUUGGUAGAGCAUGACGCUUGCAAUGCUAGUGUUGUGGGUUCAAUUCCCAC
rnacentral:tRNA from 1 species